rnacentral:rRNA from 1 species
AAAAUGACUCUCGGCAACGGAUAUCUCGGCUCUCGCAUCGAUGAAGAACGUAGCGAAAUGCGAUACUUGGUGUGAAUUGCAGAAUCCCGUGAACCAUCGAGUCUUUGAACGCAAGUUGCGCCCGAAACCAUUAGGUUGAGGGCACGUCUGCCUGGGCGUCACAC